AUUGAACGCUGGCGGCAGGCCUAACACAUGCAAGUCGAACGAGUGGCGGACGGGUGAGUAAUGUCUGGGAAACUGCCCGAUGGAGGGGGAUAACUACUGGAAACGGUAGCUAAUACCGCAUACUAUCGGAUGUGCCGAUAUGGGAUUAGCUAGUUGGUGGGGUAAAGGCUCACCUAGGCCACGAUCCCUAGCUGGUCUGAGAGGACGACCAGCAACACUGGAACUGAGACACGGUCCAGACUCCUACGGGAGGCAGCAGGGGGGAAUAUUGCACAAUGGGCGCAAGCCUGAUGCAGCCAUGCCGCGUGUAUGAAGAAGGCCUUCGGGUUGUAAAGUACUUUCAGCGGGGAGGCGUUACCCGCAGAAGAAGCACCGGCUAACUACGUGCCAGCAGCCGCGGUAAUAC
rnacentral:rRNA from 1 species